rnacentral:tRNA from 1 species
GGAGAGAUGCGAGAGUGGUUUAAUCGGCAGUCCUGGAAAGACUGUGUGUCCGUAAGGGCACCGAGGGUUCGAAUCCCUCUCUCUCCG